rnacentral:rRNA from 1 species
CCUACGGGAGGCAGCAGUAAGGAAUAUUGGGCAAUGGAGGCAACUCUGACCCAGCCAUGCCGCGUGAAGGAUGACUGCCCUAUGGGUUGUAAACUUCUUUUGUAUGGGAAUAAACCUCGGUACGUGUACCGAGCUGAAUGUACCAUAAGAAUAAGCAUCGGCUAACUCCGUGCCAGCAGCCGCGGUAAUACGGAGGAUGCAAGCGUUAUCCGGAUUUAUUGGGUUUAAAGGGUGCGUAGGCGGGAUUGUAAGUCAGUGGUGAAAUCCUUCAGCUCAACUGAAGAACUGCCAUUGAUACUGCAGACCUAGAGUACAUUUGAAGUGGGCGGAAUGUGUCAUGUAGCGGUGAAAUGCUUAGAGAUGACACAGAACACCAAUUGCGUAGGCAGCUCACUAAACUGUAACCGACGCUGAGGCACGAAAGCGUGGGGAUCAAACAGGAUUAGAUACCCUGGUAGUCCACGCCGUAAACUAUGAUCACUCGAUGUUGGCGAUACACUGUCGAGCGUCGUGNGNGAAGAACGAUUAAGUUAGAGUCCACCGUUGGGGUAGGUUACGGUUCGGCGAGACGAGAACGACGAAGGAAGUUAGACGGCGNGGAGACGNGCGACGGACGACACGAGGGAGGUUAAGG